GACGAACGCUGGCGGCGUGCUUAACACAUGCAAGUCGAACGGAAAGGCCCUGCUUUUGUGGGGUGCUCGAGUGGCGAACGGGUGAGUAACACGUGAGUAACCUGCCCUUGACUUUGGGAUAACUUCAGGAAACUGGGGCUAAUACCGGAUAGGAGCUCCUGCUGCAUGGUGGGGGUUGGAAAGUUUCGGCGGUUGGGGAUGGACUCGCGGCUUAUCAGCUUGUUGGUGGGGUAGUGGCUUACCAAGGCUUUGACGGGUAGCCGGCCUGAGAGGGUGACCGGCCACAUUGGGACUGGGAUACGGCCCAGACUCCUACGGGAGGCAGAAGUGGGGAAUAUUGCACAAUGGGCGGAAGCCUGAUGCAGCAACGACGCGUGCGGGAUGACGGCCUUCGGGUUGUAAACCGCUUUCGCCUGUGACGAAGCGUGAGUGACGGUAAUGGGUAAAGAAGCACCGGCUAACUACGUG
rnacentral:rRNA from 1 species